rnacentral:lncRNA from 1 species
CUGUUGUGUGUGGCCAGCACUGGAGGGGAUGGAAGAUUGAGAGGGAAGGAAGAAGGAGCAUGGGCUGCCCCUUACUCCUGGCUGGUCAGGUUGGUGUAGGCUACUCCCUGGAGUUCUGUAGGAAUUGUGACAAUACGACUUCCACAGCAGCCUCUGCAAAGCUGGCCUUCUACGCCCAAGUCCAUCACAUCCUGCGUGCAAUGGAGCCACCUUAUUUAUUUGGAAGGACUGUAAUCCUGUAAAAGAAGGAAAAUCCAGGUACUGCCUUGAAGGAGAGGCAAAUUUUCAUGGGGAGAAGUGAAGUGGAGUAUGCAAAGAGAAGGAGAUCCAGGCAGAGGACACAGCAUGGGCAAAGGACUGGAGAUGUGCAUAUUCGUGAAGUGCUUGGGAAGUGGCAGGUAAGUUUCAUGUGGCCAGGAUGCUGGGUACAGAGUUGUGGGUGUUGGGAGGCCAGGGUGAAAAAGACCCAGCUUUCAUGUUUCCUGUCAAUUCCUUUCCUUGGGGUUUCUUGGGCAACAUAUUCUGUCAUUUUCCACUGUGGAGUUCCCACCCAUUUUCAAAGUUGUAAAAAUAUUUUUGGUAAAUGUUCUUUUCCUUAAACAAGCCAAACUUAAGACAUCACAGGGCGGGACCCACACCCAUGUCUCUCCUUUUGCCCUGCAUCCUAAGAUGAUAUAGUGAAAGAACGUGAACCUUUAAGUAAGACAGUCUUGGAUUCAGAGCCUGCCUCUGCCG